UGUUCCUCUCUGCACAAGUUUGCAUAAACAUGCAUGGUUGAAACUGAAGCCAGAGCAAAGACUGCGACGACGAUUUCAGGCCAUGAUUAUGUCUACAACAGCUUGACAUGUGUGUGUGACAGAUGUAAAGGCAUCAAAAGAAAUUCAUAUUUGCAAGGGGGAUGUUGUAGCAGAAAAUUCAAGAGGUUAGCACAGUUUACGAGGUUGGUACGUUUAAAAUUCAACUAUUUAAGCUGUGAGAGUUGACAAGAAUUGAAAAGCGAGUCUGUUUACAUGCAUGCAGCUCGAGAGUUCAAAAGUGGGGUGGAAGUUGAUAAGUGACGGCUGGGUAUUACAGGUAAAACGAGCAAAAACUUUCAUUAACUAUAUCAUUAAUAUUUUAAACAAAGUCGAUUAGGGUUGAUGAGAGUCGGUGACAUGGCUGGCGGUUAAACGCGAGCAAGAGUUGGAAUUCUGGUGCUCGUUUGAACUCCUUCGGACUUACUUGAUUGCCAUGCAAGCAUUAAAAGAACUUAUCAAUUCACAAUUCAU